UUGCACAGCGAACACCCAAGGAUGCUAACAUCAUGGCUGUCCCUGGUCUCAUGUCUGUGCUACAGUGACUCUGAUCUUUUCCUCUGCAUUAGGAGAGUUUCAGUCUCUCCUACAAUGUAUUCAGCUGAUCAGAACAAAC
rnacentral:snoRNA from 1 species